CAUGUCUUUAAGAUUUAAUUUAAAGUUUAGUCUGCUCUAUGAAUAAAUUAAAUGGCCGCAGUAUAUUGACUGUGCAAAGGUAGCAUAGUAAUUUGUUUCUUUAAUGGAAUCUGGAAUGAAUGGCUUGACGAAAUAAAAUCUGUCUCUGUUUAAUUUAAAGUUGAAUUUUAUUUUUAAGUUAAAAGGCUUAAAUUCUUUUAAAAGACGAGAAGACCCUAUAGAAUUUUAUAUAUUUAAAAUAUUUAAUUUUUUGGAAUUAUUAUUUAAUAUUAAGUAAUAUAUUUGGUUGGGGUGAUUAAGAGAUUUUUGAAUUCUUUAAUUUGUUUUUACUAAUAGGUGUUUUUUUGAUCCAUUAUUUAUGAUUAAAAGAUUAAAUUACCUUAGGGAUAACAGGGUAAUUUUUUUUUAAAGUUCUAAUUGAAAAAAAAGUUUACUACCUCGAUGUUGGAUUAAAAAGAGCUUUUGGUGUAGAUGCUGAAUUAGGCUUAGUCUGUUCGACUUUUAAUUUUUUACAUGAUCUGAGU
rnacentral:rRNA from 1 species